UGCCCCGUGGCUGAGUUGGUUACAGCGUCCGACUGUUACUCGCUUGCGUCAAUCGGAAGGUCGUGAGUUCGAGCCUCACCGGGGCAG